rnacentral:lncRNA from 1 species
GCCCCGCCCGGAAAGGGUGGAGCACAACGUCGAAAGCAGCCGUUGGGAGCCCAGGAGGCGGGGCGCCUGUGGGAGCCGUGGAGGGAACUUUCCCAGUCCCCGAGGCGGAUCCGGUGUUGCAUCCUUGGAGCGAGCUGAGAGCUCGAGUACAGAACCUGCUAAGGCCAUCAAACCUAUUGAUCGGAAGUCAGUCCAUCAGAUUUGCUCUGGGCCGGUGGUACCGAGUCUAAGCACUGCGGUGAAGGAGUUAGUAGAAAACAGUCUGGAUGCUGGUGCCACUAAUAUUGAUCUAAAGCUUAAGGACUAUGGAGUGGAUCUCAUUGAAGUUUCAGGCAAUGGAUGUGGGGUAGAAGAAGAAAACUUCGAAGGCUUAACUCUGAAACAUCACACAUCUAAGAUUCAAGAGUUUGCCGACCUACCUCAGGUUGAAACUUUUGGCUUUCGGGGGGAAGCUCUGAGCUCACUUUGUGCACUGAGUGAUGUCACCAUUUCUACCUGCCAUGUAUCGGCGAAGGUUGGGACUCGACUGGUGUUUGAUCACUAUGGGAAAAUCAUCCAGAAAACCCCCUACCCCCACCCCAGAGGGAUGACAGUCAGUGUGAAGCAGUUAUUUUCUACGCUACCUGUGCACCAUAAAGAAUUUCAAAGGAAUAUUAAGAAGAAACGUGCCUGCUUCCCCUUCGCCUUCUGCCGUGAUUGUCAGUUUCCUGAGGCCUCCCCAGCCAUGCUUCCUGUACAGCCUGCAGAACUCCUCCAAUUUACAGUCUAAAACAUGUACGCGGUGGCCCUGAGCUGUUGUGUAAAUGGACUCACUGCCCUGAGGCCACCAUGCUGCAAGGAAGCCCAAGCUAACCCUAGGAUGUGCCCUGAGACGACAUGAAGACGCAUCCCCAGCCAGCCUUCCACUACCCCAUCCUUCACUGCCCCAUUCUCACCCCCGCCCACCUCCUUACUCCCUCCACCCCUCCACCUGCCUCCAGCCAGAAUUGCACAGCCAACUACUUCCAGAAUCGCUGGUCCAAAGAAAUCACGACAGGCGCUAAGUUUGGGGCAAUCCAUUUAAUGCUACUAAGUUGUGGGAUGGUUUGUUUGAGCAGCCCCAGAUAACAAACAUUCCUUGAGGUCACACGCUAACCAAGCUGUGAUUCGAACACUGCCUCUCAAAUUCACGAGCAAAAGAGGGGGAAUUCUGUUUAAAAUGCCAAAAAGAACUCUUUCUUGCUUUUAUUAUUUUUAAUUUAUGUAUAAUAAUUGUAUGUUUAUAUAAUAAUUGUAAUAAUUUACGGGAUACAGGUGAUAUUUCAAUAUAUGUAUACAAUGUGUAAUGAUCACAUCAGGGUGAUUAGCGGAUUCAUUUCCUCAGUUAUCAUUUCUUUGUGUUGGGAACAUUCAAAAUCUGCUCUUCUACCUAUUUGAAUAUAGAAAAUAAAUUGUUUUGUUUUGUUUUUGAGAAA